AUUGAACGCUGGCGGCAGGCCUAACACAUGCAAGUCGAGCGGAUGAAGGGAGCUUGCUCCUGGAUCCAGCGGCGGACGGGUGAGUAAUGCCUAGGAAUCUGCCUGGUAGUGGGGGAUAACGUCCGGAAACGGGCGCUAAUACCGCAUACGUCCUGAGGGAGAAAGUGGGGGAUCUUCGGACCUCACGCUAUCAGAUGAGCCUAGGUCGGAUUAGCUAGUUGGUGGGGUAAAGGCCUACCAAGGCGACGAUCCGUAACUGGUCUGAGAGGAUGAUCAGUCACACUGGAACUGAGACACGGUCCAGACUCCUACGGGAGGCAGCAGUGGGGAAUAUUGGACAAUGGGCGAAAGCCUGAUCCAGCCAUGCCGCGUGUGUGAAGAAGGUCUUCGGAUUGUAAAGCACUUUAAGUUGGGAGGAAGGGCAGUAAGUUAAUACCUUGCUGUUUUGACGUUACCAACAGAAUAAGCACCGGCUAACUUUGUG
rnacentral:rRNA from 1 species